UAAGGUGGUUAUAGCGUUGGGGUUCCACCUCUUCCCAUUCCGAACAGAGAAGUUAAGCCCAAUAGCGCCGAUGGUACUGCACACAAGUGGGAGAGUAGGUAGCCGCCGUUC
rnacentral:rRNA from 1 species